GUAGAGUAAAAAAAAAAAAAAAGAAAAAAUGACAGAGAAAACAUAUACAUGUAUGUAUAUAUAUGUAUGUAUAUAUAUGUAUGUAUAUGUGUGUAUAUAUAUAUAGAUAAAUAUAUAUAUAUAUAUUUAUAUGUUACUUGUAUCUUUUGUCUACCUACAUUGAUAUUAAGUACUACUACUACCUACUACUACUUCUACUACUACUAGACGUCACGUUGACCUGAGGCUUCCAAAGACAUACUUGAUGUGUGUCCCGAACCUAGAUCAUGGCAUUGGCAAAAUGGAUGAUGUGUUGCUAUCACAUGGUUUCCGUUUCAUUUAUACUGACUUCCUUCUUUUGCUUCCAGGGGUCGCUCUACCUGCAGGACCAGUUCCAUGUCACUAUGCACUACAGUCAGCCCAAAAUGGGGCCUGAGAAAGUACAGAAGUGUGACUGGGUUUGUACGAAGUGUGGAGCUCACAAUUUCAAACGAAGGGAUUUCUGUUUCCAAUGCAGUGUGUCACGAGAAGAAUCAGAACGAGCCAAAGAAGGAGAUGGAUUUGAUCAAGUUGGGACAAACCCUUGCAAUACUUUGAUAUUCCGUGGUUUGGAUGCCCUGACCACUGAAGAAACGUUGUCGCAAGCACUGAGCCAGCAAAUGUCGCUUACACUGAAAAACAUUAAGAUCAUCCGUGAUGAAUUAACGAACACGUCACAGGGCUAUGGUUUUGCCGAAAUGGGUUCCAUCCUCGAGUCUACGCAAGUCUUGGAGCAUUUACGCCAGAUGAACCCACCUUUUGAAGUGGAGGGCAAACUAAUCUUGGUAGCAUUUGCCAAGAACACCUUCAGCACGGUAAUGGCAACACUAAACAGUCGACCUAACUCAUACACGGGAGGUCAAAUGGUGAGUAAGCAGCGUUCCUGGAACUAUGAUCAGCAACAUGGUGAUUAUUAUUAUAAUCCUUCUGGUUAUGAACAUUCAACAUUCUACGACCAAAAUAAUCCUCACUAUGGCCAAGGUCAAGGUUAUGACUCCAGUUACUACAACCAAAAUUACACCCAUCAAGCCGAUUCCACCAACGCUGCAGCUGCUGUAGCACAGGCUGCCAUCCAACAAGCUCAAGCUGCUAAACAGUACCAGAAACAUUAUCAGAAACAGGUGCAAGAACAACAGAAAUUGGCUGAAAUGUCUCCCGAGCAGCGUUUGGCCCAUCUGGCUCAGAAUUGGUCACAACAAAAAAAUCUUUCUCCAUCUUCACAGUCUUCCCAGGCGCUAUCAGCAGCUGGAACCGCAGCCACGGCAGCCGCCGUAACAGUCGGCGCACCCACCACUGUCGAUGUGAAUGCAGACGGCAGCACAAUCACUGAUAGUUCUACACAUAAAGGCUCGCCAACCGUUUCCAAACUGCCUGUACUACAGAGUUCACAACCUGCCUUUCAGACGCCAACAGGAAUGCCAGUCAAUGACGAGUACCCCAAAUAUCCAUCGCCUGAUGUUUGUACCUAUCAAUACGACGACAGCUCUGGAUAUUACUAUGAUCCUUCCACUGGACUCUACUACGAUGCCAACUCUCAAUAUUAUUACAAUGCUUCCACGUGCCAAUUUUUGUACUGGGAUGCUGAGAAAUCCACUUACCUACCUGCUCCAACUGGGGCUGGCGGUCAGCAAUGUGAUGACAAAGAUGGAGACAACAGAGGCAAAAAGAAGGAAGACAAGAAAGAAAAAGUGAAGAUUGCCAAAAAAAUUGCAAAGGACAUGGAAAAGUGGGCGAAAACAUUGAACGCUCAAAAAGAAGCCAUCAAAGAAGGUUUUAAGAAGACAAAUGUAAAUAUCAUUGGUCCCGUUAUUCCUAUGAAACGGGUGAUUGAAGAACGUGAGUCUGCAACUGCUGACGCUGGCUAUGCAAUCCUUGAGAAAACGAGUAGCGGCAGAGGUCUAGAAGACAAGCGGUUAAUGCCUCCACCUUGUCCAAUGACGCCUACUGAGAAGGCAGCCGCGGCAGCUGCAGCAGCUGCCGCUGCUACUGAGGCAGUAGCAGCCAACAAUCCGGCCCUCGUGGCCUCAUAUGGAGGUGACAGUGAUUCUGAGGACGAAUCAUUUGAGACAACGCCAGCACCUGGCAAUACCCAACGAACUGGUGUCCUUGAUGAGGCUAAGCUGACCGACUGGAACAAACUCGCUUGUUUGCUGUGCAAACGACAGUUUCCCAGCAAAGAGGCUCUCACAAGACACACGCAACUCUCUGAUUUACACAAGCAAAAUCUUGAAGUGAUGAGGAAAAAAUAUAGCUCUGGUGCAGUUGAUGGGGAUAAAAAAGGACCGCUACGAGGAACCAACCAAGCAAGGUAUCGGCAUUGAUAACAUUGGAAACAAACUGCUACAGAAGAUGGGGUGGAGUGAGGGACAAGGUCUGGGUAAAAAAGGUCAAGGGAUUGUUGCACCUAUCCAGGCCCAGCGGAGAUUGGCGAGUGCGGGACUCGGUGCUCGGGGAGCAAACAUUGUCUGUGAUGUCAGCGACUCUUACAAAACGGCAGUGAAGAAAUCCAUGUUUGCACGCUACCAUGAACUUGAAUGAACUCCACAUUCAUUCAGUGUCUGUCAGCCAUGUCAUGCUCUUUCUCUCUUUCUUUCUUUCUUGUACAUAGUUUGCUGCUAUAUAUUCUUCACCACCAACAAUUAUUUGUUCACCACCACCACCACCACCACAAACUUUUUUUUUUUUGGGUCCUCUUGCUCUCUCACUCUCUCUGUGUGUCCCAAGCUCUCACUCACUCUCAAAUCUGUUGUUCCAGAUAUUGGAAAAAAAGACAGUUUUUUGUUGUUGUUGUUUUAUUUUUUUAAAAGGACUAAACAACAUUCUCCUUUCAACCUUUUCCAUCUCUUUCAUCAUUUACCAUUUAUUAAAACCAUCAUUUCAUUAAGCAUAAACCAAGAGAAAAAAAAUUUUUUUCAAAAACAAAAAAAAAGUUAUAAAAUUUCGGAGAAAAAAAAAAUAAAACAUUUUUUGAAAAAAAAAUUUUGAUUUUCUUA